UACAGAGGUCUCAAGCGUUGUUCGGAUUCAUUGGGCGUAAAGGGCGCGUAGGCUGCGGGGCAAGUCGGGUGUGAAAUCUCAGAGCUCAACUCUGAAACUGCACUCGAUACUGCUUUGCUUGAGGACUGGAGAGGAGAUUGGAAUUCACGGUGUAGCAGUGAAAUGCGUAGAUAUCGUGAGGAAGACCAGUGGCGAAGGCGGAUCUCUGGACAGUUCCUGACGCUGAGGCGCGAAAGCUAGGGGAGCAAACGGG
rnacentral:rRNA from 1 species